rnacentral:rRNA from 1 species
UACGGAGGGUGCGAGCGUUAAUCGGAAUUACUGGGCGUAAAGCGCGCGUAGGCGGUCAGGCAAGUCGGGUGUGAAAGCCCUGGGCUCAACCUGGGAAUUGCAUUCGAAACUAUCUGACUCGAGUAUGGGAGAGGGAAGCGGAAUUUCCGGUGUAGCGGUGAAAUGCGUAGAUAUCUGGAGGAACACCGGUGGCGAAGGCGGCAUCCUGGACCGACACUGACGCUGAGGAGCGAAAGCCAGGGGAGCAAACGGG